AUUGAACGCUGGCGGCAGGCCUAACACAUGCAAGUCGAGCGAGCGGCGGACGGGUGAGUAAUGUAUGGGGCUCUGCCCGAUAGAGGGGGAUAAAUAAUGGAAAAGAUGGAUAAUACCGCAUACUAUCGGAUGAACCCAUAUGGGUAUUGCUAGUAGGUGGGGUAAAGGCUCACCUAGGCGACGAUCCAUAGCUGGUCUGAGAGGAUGACCAGCCACACUGGAACUGAGACACGGUCCAGACUCCUACGGGAGGCAGCAGUGGGGAAUAUUGCACAAUGGGCGCAAGCCUGAUGCAGCCAUGCCGCGUGUAUGAAGAAGGCCUUCGGGUUGUAAAGUACUUUCAGCGGGGAGGCGUUACUCACAGAAGAAGCACCGGCUAACUCCGUGCCAGCAGCCGCGGUAAUUC
rnacentral:rRNA from 1 species